AGUGCUGGUUCGUUGGAGUAAUUCCGAGGAGGAGGAUGCAACAUGGGAAGUCAAGGAGUACCUGAGAAAUGCUUUUCCAUCUAUCAACAAUGAGGGCAUGUUGAUUUCCGAAGAAGGCAGACCUGAUGCGAUCAACAUCGAUAUCGAUCUCACCGGGAUCACAUCAGACCUGGAGAGGGAGCUGGCCGUCGACGCUGUCGCCGGAGAGGAGUCCUCAAAUGCUAGAGCAAAACCCAACAUUGAGGAAGGAGCAAAGGACCUGGAUGCAAGUACAAGAAGGUCGGUUAGAAACAAGAGAGUGCCAAUUAAAUUCAAGGACUACGUUGCAAAUUUUCCAAUUUGAGUAUUGUAAUAAUUAGUAUAAAAUCCAAACCUAGGUUAUGAGACG
rnacentral:lncRNA from 1 species